AUUCAAGUUAUGAAGGGCCAACGGUGAAUGCCUUGGCGUCUGCUGCCGAUGAAGGACGUGGGAGGCUGCGAUAAGCCACGGGGAAGUGCCGACCAACUGUCGAUCCGUGGAUGUCCGAAUGGGGAAACCCAGCACCCGUAAUGGGGUGUUACUCCGACCUGAACGCAUAGGGUCGGUAGAGGGAACUGCGUGAACUGAAACAUCUCAGUAACGCGAGGAACGUAAAGCAAAAGCGACUCCCUGAGUAGCGGCGAGCGAAAUGGGAUCAGCCUAAACCGUACUGGUGUUAAAGCCCGAUGGCGUUGCCAGUGUGGGGUUGUGGGAACCAACCGAGGGAACAUCGGACCCUCAAGGAGUUACAAAACUGAUGACUAGUGGAAGCGUCCUGUGAACGGCGCGCCGUAGAGGGUAAGAGCCCCGUACACGAAAGUUAUCAGUCUCCUGUUGUGUCUCCCGAGUAACGCCGGAUCCGGGAAAGCCGGCGUGAAUCAGCGAGGACCACCUCGUAAGGCUAAGUACAUGCAGACGACCGAUAGUGAACUAGUACCGUGAGGGAAAGGUGAAAAGUACCCCGGGAGGGGAGUGAAAUAGUACCUGAAACCGUUGGUCUACAAACAG
rnacentral:rRNA from 1 species